AAAAGAAAUACAUGAUUAUAGCUUAAAUUUAUACUCACCAUUUCAACUUUUACCAGUAGUUUGGGUGAAAAUAUUUAACUAGGUUGUGAUUUUAACAAUGGCAAUCAUAAUUUUUAAUUCACAGGCAUUUUGACAAUAUCCCUAUCGCCUAUUUUACUAGGCUCCUAAAUCUGGUUGUGGCAGAUUAUAUUUUCCAAAGAGAUGCUAGAGAUAUAUCCCAUCUGCCACGUGCUUCUUAAAAUAAGAUCUCCUCCCGCAAAGAGAUGGGGAUCUGUGUUCUUUCCCCUUGAAUUUUUGUUACGGGGCCUGUGACUGCUGCUUGUACUAACAGGGUACAGGGGAAGUGAUGCUAUAGGACUUCUGAGGCCAUAAAGAGGAUGCAGCUCAUGGAUGAGUCACUCUCUUGGCACAGGAACCUUGGAAGCCCUAAACCGUCAUGGAAGACACCCAGCUGAAGUGAUCAUACUGGAGAGAACAUGUGGAGAGACAACAUGGAGACAGAGAAACAUGUGGGAGGGUCCUCAGCUGCUCCGGCCACCAGAUGCCUCAGUCUCUCUGGGACCAGAGAAGUAUGGUAUUUUAUGAGAAGACAUGCUAUGAAUGAUGAAAGGCUCUAUUUCAGCAAGUCACAGGCAGAAAAGUCCAAAACAAUGGAAUAGAACUGCAGCAUUGUUGAAAGUAGGUACUUUUUUAUUAUUCUACAUACACUUUAAAAUCUAAAUAUUAUUGCUUUGUAUAAAAAGGUGGUCUGUACAUUUCUAUGCUAAAUAGCAUGCCUUCUUAAUAAUGUAUUUUGAUGAUUUGUUUAUAAGAGCAUAGGUACUCCUUGUUUUCAUUUUUACUAUCUAAAAAAUUAAACCAUCUGUAAGGCCCUCUACAACCAAAGCUCUCCUUUUCCCUCUAUCUGUCAGCAAGCACAAGGUGGGCUCUUGGGAAAGGACUUACCUUGCUUGUCUACUGCGGCAGC
rnacentral:lncRNA from 1 species